ACAAUGCUCCACAGGACCAUGGGUCUCCCCUACCAUUGAUGCCAGAUAAGGCCAUCCUUUCCUACAUAUGUAGCUGGAGCUGUAAAUUACUCCAUGUAUACGCUUUGAUUGGUGGUUUAGUCAAAGGGAGCUCUGGGUUGUCCAGUUAGUUUAAAAUGUUCAUUCUAUGGGGAUGGAAACCCCUUCAGCUCCUUCAAUCCUUCCCUUAGUCUCUUCCAUUGGGAUCCCCAGGCUCAGUCCGGUGAUUGGCUUUGAGUAUCUGCAUCUGUAUUGGUCAAGUGCUGGUAGAAACUCUCAGGGAACAGCCAGACCAGGAUCCUGAGCAACAAUUGUGUUUCCAAGGUGAAAAUCAUUGGGAUAUCUUUCCUUUCAUGUCAAGAUUUUGGAAACAACAGACUGAAGAAAUAAAUGGACUGGGGUAUGUUGGUUCUUUUUCUAGUUCUUUAAAGUGAGACUCUUAAAAAAAUUCAUGUGUACUAGGACUGCAUUGUGAAGACUACUUACUUGUAGGGUAGAUUUCUUCCUUCACUGUAGAGACUACAUAUUACUACUGAAGGAUGUAUCCUAUGAGGUGAAGUCUGCUUUUGGCUCUAUGGAAGCAACUCACUAUAUGUGGAGGCUACUUCCUGCUAGAUGUUUUACCCCAAUUCUCUAUACCCUGAGAAAAUAUGAUUCAUUAUGUAUUCAGAGAUCCCUUUGAUAGUUCCCACUUUUAAAUUUAUAUUUUUCUUUUGCUUUUAUCUUGCCAGUUACAUUCCUUAAAAGAUCCUAGGUUUUAUACCUUAAGUACAGAACCAGCUACUUAUACAAUUCUUAAGUUCAUUUAAUUAAAUAAUCAAAAUCUAUUUCAAGUAAAUUAUAAAGUGUAUAUAAAUUCUUUUUGUAUCAAUAAGUGAGAAAUAAAUGUUUAUUCUUUUCUAAAUCUCCAAAACAAUUUGCCUGAACUGUUGUUAGAAGAGAAUUUCUUCAGUGAUUUGUACAAUAGAGUUUAGGCACAGAAAUCUUUUAUUUCCAAGAAUAGAUAACACAGGAAAAAGAAAUUUCUCUUUUAUGCACCCCAAACUUGUAGAAUCCUGAAUGUAAUUACAGAUGGAAUAUAAAAGGAGAAAGCUGUCUAGUGAUAAGUUAGCUAUCAUUUAAAAAAAUAUUUACUUUUACAUGUAUAAAUAUUUGCUAAUAUAUGUGUAUGUAUUUGCACCACAUGUAUGAUGAGUGUCCAUGAAGUUUGGAAGAGGGUUCAUGUUCACCUUGGAUGGAAGAUUUUUUUGGGGUAAUCAACUGAGUCCUCUGCAAAAACAACAGUAGUUCUUGUCUCCUCAUCUUACUCUCUGGCCUCAAGAUAAUUAUAUUUGUGAAAAUAUAUUUUCUAGGGACAAAAAUUAGAAAGAAAAAAUUAAUUUCUUCAUGUGUUAGUCGAAAACAUAGGAAAAUGGAAUUAUGUUAAUUUUGCAAUAUAUAUUUUAAAAACAAUUUAAAUUUCUGCAUCAAAAGUCUAAAGAAAAACAGAUCAAAAGACAACUCUUUCACACUGUGAUGGGGAGUACUGCUACAGUUACAAUCAUUAUUAAAUUUUCUGUAAUUAAAUUAAAAAAGGCAAACCCCAAUAUAUAGUGAUGCUUUAUGGAAACUGCUAUUUUGGAUUGCAUUUCUAUGUGUACCUGAAUUCAAUUAAGCAAGGUUUCCAGCAGCCAUCUUCAUAAUAGUUCAUAUUAAGAUUAUUUCCCAACUAUAUAACCAAUGUGUAUAAAUUAUUUUCUGUACCCACAAUACAAUGACAUUCUCUACAACAUAAAAGUCAACCUAAAGUUACACACACACACACACACACACACACACACACACACACACACACAGAGGGAUGAACCAUUUCAAUACAUUAACUGGAAGAAUGUGAUGCACAUUGACCUCCAUUCUCCCCAACUCCCUAAUACUUGGACUUUCUUUUUCUAAAGAAAUGGUGAAUAUGACCACAGCACAAAGCUUUUCAUUGUAGAUAACAUGUAGGAAAUCAUCUGGAAGAGUCCAGGGAACAGAGAGAAAGUAAUAGACUAGACAUGACAAGUAAACUGAACAGGGCCAUUAGAGGAGAGAAAUGGGGGAGACCAGAAUAACAAGAAAAGACGACCAAGAAAAGUAAAAAAAAAAAAAAAAAAAAAG